UCGAGGUGUAGCGCAGUUUGGUAGCGCACAUGGUUUGGGACCAUGGGGCCGGGGGUUCGAGUCCUGCAUCCCCAGCCA
rnacentral:tRNA from 1 species